GGCUGGUCCGAAGGUAGUGAGUUAUCUCAAUUGAUUGUUCACAGUCAGUUACAGAUGGAACUUCUUGUUCUACUCUUUCUCCCCUUCUCACUACUGCACUUGAUUAGUCUUUA
rnacentral:Y_RNA from 1 species